GGGCCUGCACAAGCGGUGGAGCAUGUGGCUUAAUUCGAUGCAACGCGAAGAACCUUACCUAGGCUUGACAUGGACAGGACCGGGGGCGAAAUCCCCCUUCUCUUCGGAGUCUGUUCACAGGUGCUGCAUGGCUGUCGUCAGCUCGUGUCGUGAGAUGUUUGUUAAGUCCAGCAACGAGCGCAACCCCUGCCACUAGUUGCCAGCGAUUCGGUCGGGAACUAUAAGGGGACUGCCGGUGAUAAACCGGAGGAAGGUGAGGACGACGUCAAGUCAUCAUGCCCCUUAUGCCCAGGGCUGCAAACACGCUACAAUGGCUGGUACAGAGGGCUGCGAACCCGCGAGGGCAAGCG
rnacentral:rRNA from 1 species